rnacentral:rRNA from 1 species
GCGAAGCGAAGCAGCGAUGUGAAGCAAAUCGCACCAAAGCCGGUCCCAGUUCGGAUAAGAGGCUGAAACUCGCCUCUUUGAAGUCGGAAUCGCUAGUAAUCGCAGAUCAGCAUGUUGCGGUGAAUACGUUUCCUGGUCUUGUACACACCGCCCGUCAAACCAUGAGAGUCGCCAACACCCGAAGUCCGCUUUGCGGCCUAAGGUGGGGGAGAUGAUUGGGGUUAAGUCGUAACAAGGUAAC